GGAGAGGUGGCUGAGCGGUUGAAAGCACUAGUCUUGAAAACUAGCAACGGGGCAACCCGUUCGUGGGUUCAAAUCCCACCCUCUCCGCCA
rnacentral:tRNA from 2 species